CGUCGUGCGCUGCCACGUCUUCUCAACUCUGUGGUAAUGGAGGCUGAGGAUGGGUGCUGACGGGGCCAGGCUCAGCCUUUAGGGUUAGCUGUGGCUCUGGCACUGGAUCGGGGUCAGGGUCUGGGUUUGGCAACUUGAAGCCUGAACAAUUCCCAGCUUGUGAAGCGGGAUCGGCCUGCGUACAAGCAGCUGCUUCGGAGCGCUUUAUCGCGGGGAGAGUUUGUUGCCUGGGGUCCAGUCUCUAAAGCCGCCUUCCCUUGGGAUCCCGCCCCACCGGCCGGGCCUCCUCCAUGCAGUUGAAACAGCUUGACAACCACUAACCUGGGUUGCAGCUACAGGUGGCACUGGAAGCAGACUGGUUCCUGGACAUGCCCGGUGGAAGGAGGGGCCCUAGUCGGCAGCAGCUAAGCCGUUCAGCUUUACCUUCUUUACAGACUUUAGUUGGAGGAGGUUGUGGCACUGGAACAGGCUUAAGAAACAGGAAUGGUAGCGCUAUUGGCCUUCCAGUCCCACCUAUCACAGCCUUAAUCACCCCAGGUCCUGUUCGUCAUUGCCAAAUUCCCGACUUGCCUAUGGAUGGGAACCUGCUGUUUGAAUUUCUGUUUUUCAUCUACCUAUUGAUUGCUCUGUUCAUUCAGUACAUCAAUAUCUAUAAAACUGUGUGGUGGUAUCCUUACAAUCACCCUGCAUCUUGUACUUCACUGAAUUUUCAUCUCAUUGAUUAUCACCUGGCAGCGUUCAUUACAGUAAUGCUGGCAAGGAGGCUUGUGUGGGCUCUCAUCUCAGAGGCCACUAAGGCGGGUGCAGCGUCCAUGAUUCACUACAUGGUUCUGAUAUCAGCGCGCUUGGUGCUGCUUACUUUGUGUGGAUGGGUGCUUUGCUGGACCCUUGUCAAUCUCUUUCGAAGCCAUUCAGUCCUCAAUCUCCUCUUCCUUGGCUACCCGUUUGGUGUUUAUGUUCCUCUCUGCUGUUUCCACCAAGAUAGCAGAGCUCAUCUUCUUCUCACAGACUAUAACUAUGUGGUUCAGCACCAGGUUGUAGAGGAAAGUGCCUCAACUGUGGGUGGCUUGGCCAAAUCCAAAGACUUCCUCUCCUUAUUACUGGAGUCUCUAAAAGAACAGUUUAAUAAUGCCACGCCCAUCCCCACCCACAGCUGCCCCCUGUCUCCAGACCUUAUCCGUAAUGAAGUAGAAUGUCUGAAAGCAGAUUUCAACCACAGAAUCAAAGAAGUUCUUUUCAACUCUCUCUUCAGUGCCUACUAUGUUGCAUUUCUCCCCUUGUGUUUUGUAAAGAGCACCCAGUAUUACGACAUGCGCUGGUCAUGUGAGCACCUUAUCAUGGUGUGGAUCAAUGCCUUUGUCAUGCUCACCACGCAACUGCUGCCAUCCAAAUACUGUGAUUUGCUACAUAAGUCAGCCGCACAUCUGGGCAAGUGGCAGAAGCUGGAGCACGGGUCUUACAGCAAUGCCCCACAGCACAUUUGGUCAGAAAAUACAAUAUGGCCUCAAGGGGUACUGGUGCGGCACAGCAGGUGUUUAUACAGAGCCAUGGGGCCUUACAACGUGGCGGUGCCUUCAGAUGUAUCCCAUGCCCGCUUUUAUGAGCCGGAAGUCUUAAAGUGCUUGUGUUGAUGAAACUCAUGAAGGAAAUCAUGUGUGACCAGAUCUAUGAGAGAAGAUGAGUCUAAAAAUUGUGGGCUACAGAAUAUGGAUAGAUUGAAAACACCACAUAAUUGAAAGAAUGGGCCCAGACUGAAGCUAAAUAAUCUUGAUGCAGUUUGGCAGCAACUCAUAUACAGUGGCAUUAUGUUUGGAGAUAGAAGGAAUGAAAUACAAGAAGUUACUGCUUUGUCUUCAGAAAUUUUUUUGUUUUCUUGAGACAGAGUCUCACUGUAUCAGACCUUGAACUUGCUGUGUAGCUCAGGCUGUGUGUCAAAUUCAUGGCAGUCAUUCUGCCUCCUUCUCCAGCAUGCUGAGGUUACAGAUGCGUGCCACUAUGCCCAGCUGUCUUCUAAGAAUUGUAUCUAUAUGCAAAGUAUGUUUUAAAUUUCAUACUAGAAGGCCAAGUACAUAGUCUGUAGCUGUGUGGUAGGGCACUUACCUCAUGUGCACAAGGCCCUGAGUUCAGUUUCUAGGACUGCAGAAAAUAAAUUUCAUAGUCUGUCUUCAUGUUUGUCAGUGUUAAUGCUUUAGAUCAUUACUUUCCAUGUUCUUAGGAAGUGAUGCAUUUAGUACAUUACCACUAGUCAUCUAAACUUCUGAGCCCUUGAAGAACCUAAAGCAGAUUGUCUUGAUUUUGGACUGGGUAUGGCUUUUUAUAUAUGAAGCUUUGAUGAUGCAGAAUAUGACUUACGAAGUAAGUAGGUCAUCAGCGGGCUUUGAAUUCUUGGAUCAAACUCUCGACCUUGUGCUUAUCAGGCAAGUGCUUGAGGCACUGAGCUAAAUCCCCAGCCCUCUGGCUCUGAAUUCUUUGAUUUUUUUUUUUUUUUUUUUUGUCUUUUUCGUUUUUACCGGUACCAGGGAUCGAACUCACGACUGCCUGCUUGCAAGGCAGGCGCUUAUGCCGCUGAGCUAAAUCCCCAGCCCCUGGCUCUGAAUUCUUACAGAAGCGUUCCCAAAAGAUUUUUAGCAGAGGAAAAAAAUUCCAAGCAGUAAUAUAUAUAUAUAUAUAUACACACACACACACACACACACACACAUUGAAGGUGACCACUUGGUUUCAACUAAACAUGGCUUCCUUAAUAUUUUGGUGAGUAUACUUUUUUAAAAAAUUAAAUGAUUUGAGGGCCAGGGAUAUAUAGCUCAGCAGCACAAGUACCUGCCUGGCAAGUACAAGGUCAUGUGUUCGAUCCACAGUACAAAAAAAAAAAAAAAAAGCUUAAAUGGUUUGACAGUGAGUCUGUUUAGCCAUUCAACAAGUGUAUAUUGCCCUGCACCCCUCUCCAAGCUUGUGAUGUAGGGACAGGUGGUGCUAGUCAUGCAGUCAGUUUACAUACCCUGUUUUCUGUUAAUGGUGAUAAAUACAGUAAGGAGGAAUCAGGGCCAGGAGGAGAGUAGUAGAAACAUCACUGUUAGAGGCAUCUUUGUGAAGACGGUUUUCGAGCAAACCCAGAUGUAGCUAGAUAGCGUGGUGAGAACUCCCCUGUUACCUUUGUAAGAGCUGUGUGGUAGAAACAAGUUGAUAUAUUGGAAUAACGGCAAAAAAUCCAGAGUAUUCGGGAGGUUGCCAUUUAAGAUGGGUCAGCUCAUUGUGUUUCUUGAGGUAGGAGAAGAAAGGCAGGGAAGCUAUUGUUUCAUUAUUCUUUCCUGGAAAUAGGCUUUUCUGCCAGUGAGUAAUUUGAUGAAAGUACUUGACAGCUGAGAGCAGAAUGGGUGCCAUGGGUCCAGAGAUGUCAUCACAGAUGGCCUAGCCUGGCUAUAGUGUAGAAAAGUAGCCCAGAUAACCAAUUAGAAAAAUAAUCUUAAUAACUAACAUGAGUCCCCCUUCUUGCUUGACCUGGCUUGGCUGGAUCCUAAAGGAAUAAACAGGAGGACCAGAUGCCAGGCUGGCUGAAUAAAUGAUUGUAAGAAAUAAAAACUAGGGCUGGGGAUUUAGCUCAGUGGCAUAAGCAUCUGCCUUGCAAGCAGGCAGUUGUGAGUUCGAUCCCCAGUACCGAUAAAAAAGGAAAAAGACAAAAAAAAAAGAAAUAAAAACUAGUUUGGCUACUUGAAUUGCAGUUUCCCCUGCUUGCACCUCUGUAUACAGAAGCAUAAGAGGAUUAAAAGCUCUUUUAGUUCAGUGUGCUCCUACCCCCCCCAUUAAAGAAUGUGUGAUCCCCUUUUGAAUUUCUAUUGCAAAGUUUUAAAAAUGUAUGAAAAGGAAGGUACAGCAAAUGAUUAGCUGAGUGAACUUGGGACAUCAGAAAAGCAAAGAAGAUGGUUGACCAGUUGUCUUGGAGGCCCAAGGUGGGCAUCUGUCAAGAAAGAACAUGAAAAUGUGCCUCAGUCUCUUUGAUAGUGUGUUUACACUCUUAAACCCUUUUCCCUCCCUCCCUCAUCACUCCCACCACUGCUGCCUCCCCCAUUUCCGCAGACUGGGUUUUCACGUGGGGAAUGCUGCUAGAUGUCGGAGGUAGUGAUGUUCAGAGUUCAUUAGCAGAAGGUGGACAAGUAAGUAGUUGUCAUACAGUGUUCAGUAACGGGAAUGUGUGGAGGUACAGUGGUGACACAGGGAAGGGAGUGGUCAUUACUGCCUUGUCAGGAGGGUUUCAAGACCGCAGAUGAGAAACAUUAGUUUACCAUAGAGAUGAGGAUCCAUGAAGUGGAUCUAAGAUACGGACUUACACUAGGUUCACAAUGCCGGAGGAGUGGAUUACAGAACUUCAAUUGCACAUUAACCACUCUGGAUUUUUUUUUCUUAAUACGGAGUCAAAUUUAGGUCCUUGUGUAUGCUAGGAAGGUAUUACUCUAUCCCUGAAACACAUCCCCUGCCCUUAUUUUGAGACACAGUCUCACUAAAUUUCUCAGGAUAGCCUCAAAUUAGUGAUUCUUUUGCCUUAGCCUCUCAAAUAACUAGCAUGCGGUGUGACAUGCAGUGUCACAGCUCGCUACAGUUUGGAUUUUUAUUAUCUUGAAGGCCGUAAGUUCUUAAGCUGUGACCCCUGGAUACUUUAUCAGAUCAGUUAUCUUUAUCAGUAAAGACUGGACCCAUACAUUUUAGUAUCAGAUUUUUUUGAUGAAAUAGGAAAAAGUAAUGAGCAGAUGCCAAUAUGAGAAAACGCGAGACUAUCUUCCAGAUCUUUGUAAAAGUGAGUUUUGUGGGAGAAUGCAGCCUUUUUAUGCAGGAAAAGAAAGGCAUUCGCAAGUUUUUCUUUUUUCUAGAUACAGGGUCUCACUGUGUAGUUCAGGCUGGCUUGAACUCUAUGUCACCCAGGCUGGCCUCCAACUUGUGGUGAUCCUCCUGCCUCUGACUCCCAAAUGCUGACAUGAGCCUGAAAUCCAGGAAAUGGCAACAAUUUUUGGUUUAGAAACCAGGUUGUAUGAUUAUCCACCCUGAGCCCUAAAUGCCACCUUUGUUAUUUUUUUAAUAACAAAUGUCAGGAUGACAAAUGUAUGCGUCCCCAGCGUCGUUAACAUAAUCGCUCAAACAAAGGAACAGUCCUCUGCCAACUUCAUUACUAGGCAAACUGAGUGCCAUCAGCGUGGUGGACUCAGUGGCUCCUUAAAUUGUGGAGUUUUGGGAAGCAGUGGCUUUUUUCUUCCAUUUUCCAUUACAGUGUCACCAAUGUAUGCAGGGUGUCUUGGAUGACACGAUUGUGGUUGUGACAAUAAGAUGGAGAGGGUGUCAAUAUUUCACAAUUAGUAAGAUGUAAAAUAACAAGAAGAAAAUUUACUGAAGCAAUCACCAGAACUUUUGCAAGGAGAUCAGACAUGAAGUAACCAAAAAUGACAUCAAUCAGAACAAAGUAAAAUGAGUCAGGUACAUAAUUUACUUUUCUGAGUAUUGAUUUUGGUGGCCCCUUAUCCUGUAGCACUUACAUACACCAUAAGCAUUAUAUUUCAUAUCAUUUAUUAGAGUACAUUUAUAAAGCAUAAUCUUUUAAUUACACAUAAAUGUUUCUAUAGAUAGGUUUAAUAUUUAUACUUUUUAAUGAGUAGAAAAACAUUUUGAUUAUAUCUUUGGAAACAUUUGUAGAGCUUAAAAAACAGCUACAAUCAUGUGGCUUUCUAAUAAGACUCUUUUGAAAAAAGUGCUUUACUUUGCAGAAUGAUAAGCCAGAAAACAAAAGGGUUAAGUUAAUGCAGAGCUUUGCAAUGCAUCCAGUAAAACACAGAGCCAUGGACUCCAGGGCUUUUUACAGUUAACUCCGCUGCCCUUCACCAUCGGAGUAGUUCCCUGCAUUGCCCAUGUUCCUCAGGUCGCUGCACAAACUAUUGUGUGUCAGUCUGUCUGUGGCCCCGGUUUUAUAUGAUCCACCUAGACAGUCAGUUACCCAUCUAGCAUCUUCCCUCCCUGGAAAGAUGAUUGCCUCUUCUGGCCUUAUUUUGCUAGGAAGAAUGUUGCUGAAGAACCUUUCUACUAGAAGUAUCUAAAGUCAUAUUCCUAGCAGCACUUCAGCGCCAAGGCUCAUGCUGUGAUCAGACAAGACAGGCAGUGAUGGAAUGUGGGCCCAAUCCAUGCUGGUGGGAACUGGACCUACUGUGACCUGCCAUUCCAGUCCCAGACCAAGGACUCUUCUGUUAUCAGGAACCCUUGAGACAGGAACAUGAUGCCUGGCAGACAAAUGAGUUCCCUUUCCCAGUUGGAAUCAGCUGCCAUCGUGUGCUAAACGCUGUGUGAACAGUUCAGGCUAUGAUUUCAUUGGUUGGCAAAUUAACUCACACUGUAAUGACGAAAGUCUCUCAAAUCCCUCUCAAUUCCAGUGUGGACGGCUGAUCCCACAUGGUUCAUUUGCAGAGACCCAACACUUAACAAACCAAUCAGGUCUGCACAAAACCUGGAACUACUUAUGCUCAGUUGCUCACCACUCAUAAUUUUUAAAAUCAAAACAAACUUUUCAACACCCAAAUGUCUCAUUGGUAUGUCAGUUGGAUUUGCAAUUGUGAUUGAUUUGAUUAUUUAAGAACAGCAGGUCACUUGAAUAGUGUUAACAAUUGUUUUGAAAGGUGCCAGGGGCUAGCAAGGUAGUAUAUGUAAUCCCAAUGCCUGGGAAGCUGAGGCAGGAGGAUUGUAAAUUGAAGCCCAGUUUGGGCAAUUUAGGCACAACAAAAAGAUGCUAGUUACUACAUUUUUUCUCCGUUUUCCUUCAUUUGGAAAUUAAUCGUUCUCAGCCUUGCUCCCAGUUGUUUAUGGACUGUCUCACUUGUUCUUAUCCCGUUCCUUUUUUCAUUAGACUGUUCAAAAAUUUACGAGUACUAAGGUAACUAAACUUUGUUACUAAACUUUGAUAAAUCCUUGAGAAUGAUUUUUUUUUUUUUUUUUUUUUUUUUUUUUUUUGAGACAGGGUCUCAUUGUGCAGUUCAGGCUGGCCUUAAGCACACUUUGUAACCCAGGUUGGUCUCGAACUUAUAAUAAUCCUCCUGCCUCAGCCUCCCAAGUGCUGGAAUUACAGGUGUGAGCCACCAAGCCCAGCGUGAUUUUUACGUUUUUAAUGUCCCUAAACUCCAGAAUUUUGACUUGGCCAAUAUUUCAAAUUUUAGGGCUAAAAUUAGGCUCACAAGUGAAGCAGAGAAAAAACUCCAAAUAACCUCUAUUCAUCCAUUUUCAUAAGAAGAAAAAAGUUGGCCUGGGCCAUUUUACCAAUAAAUAUAUGUUAGUAUCUUCUUAAGCAACUGUAAAAACUGAAAGACAACAUUAGCCUAUGUAUACAUUUUACUUUGACAUUUCAUGAUAGUGGCCCCCAUUCUGAGGCCCCGUGGUGGGAAAGCUUGAUUCUGCAGUCCUCAUAGUGUCAGGCAGGUCCUCCUGCAGCCAGUGGCCCUACCAGGAAGCAAGCACUCUGGUUCCCAUCCGCCCCUUCUCAGGGGCCUCACUGUCCAGAGUCCCAAGUGCGUGGCCAAACAGCUAAUCCCAAGGUAUGGAAGGACGAAUUAGGAGAAAAACAAGUUUCCUUUGCCAUGGAAUGGAAUGGAAUUUCAUCAGCACCAGGCUAGCCCAGCCCCCAGGAAGUUUGUGAACAUGUGUGUGACAGUUGACAGUUGACCAGGCUGUGACGUUGUCAAAGGAAAGGGCCACACUCAGCAGCAAGACAGCAAGGUGAGUUGGCUUCCCAGUGCUUCUAGAGUUGAGGGCUUGGAAAGCCUGGAACAAGGACUAUCUCCAGACAGCUGUCCCUGGGCCACAUGACAGUAUCACAGACCUGUGCACCCACCGAAGGGGAGGCCAUAAAUGGAAGGUAUGGGUCUCCAGACCCAUCCUACAAAUCUACACAGGCACCUCAACCAUUAGAACCGAAGUCGUUUGCUAGUGUGGUUUUGUUGUUUUUGAGACAGUCUCCUCUCCCUAUGUAGUUCAGGCUGGUCUUAAACUUAUGGCAAUUCUCCUGCCUCAGCCUCCUGAGUGCUGGGAUUAUAAGCCAUGCCACCUCCUCACACGUUAAGUAUGUUUAAGGUGGCUUCUCAGUCUAUUCCCAGAUAAAAAUAUAUCCUAUAAGUAUUACAAACAAAAAUGUAAAAUAUUCAUAGAGUAGUUUUUAAAAAAUAUUCCAUAUCUUGGCUCAGAGUCUUGAUGGUUGACAAAGUGCAGUUCUUUCCAUAUCUCACAUUAUAACUGGAACAUGCUCCUGAUUAUCUAAGCAUAUAUGCCACCAGCGCACAAAGAUUGACAUAAAACCUCUCUGCUACAUUGCUGGUGGGGCAGGAAUGUGUUUUUGAAAUCUCUGACCGUGGCCUUUCUCAUCUCUCACUGUUCAUUUCUUCACGUGGUUUGCCUAAGGAAAAUGUUUCAUAUUAGGGUUCAUCUCAUGGGCUGGUCGCCUGUGGCUGUUGUCACUGGGCUGUCAUUCGCCCAGUGAGAAAGCCACAGUACUCAUCAGGCACCUCUUAACUGCUCUCCACGGCAGAUUUCCCAGGCUGGCUGCCAACUACCCCUGCCACAGCUGCAGGCUUCAUAAGUAGAGGAAAAGAUCUCAAGACUGUAAGGCUUUUUAUCAUCAGACAGAAGAUCAGAGGCGGAGGGACAGAGAAGUGGGUGGGGAAGAAAGGUGAGAGGACAGAGAAAGAGAUCUACAGAGAGCAUCAGCUUCCAGCCUCUGACUAGAGGAGACGACUUCGGCUCAGCCCCUGCCCAACCCAGCACGGCCCUGGUUUUGAGGUCUGCCCUGCUGUGGUACUGCUGACUCCUAGAGUCAAUGACUGAACUUGCAAACAGAGUUUGGUGGGCUUGGACCUGAGAUGAGUUGCCCUGUGAAGCCUUUUUUGGGGACAGCACCAAAAAUCUGCCAGCAGGUAUGUUAGUCUUCUGUCUAACUAAUGAGGAGAGAAAACAGCAAGUUGUAAAUGACUGAAAGAAAUGAGACUGGUUUAUUGCUUCUGCUUGUAUGCUGACAGAGAAGAGGAGUGCAUGUGAGCACCCGGGGUGGGUGGUAGAUGAGGGGAAUUGCAGAAGGGACAGCGGAGCCUUAAAUUUGCUCUGGAGAAAGGAAGGACCCCACUGGCUAAGAUGAAAUGCACUGUCUCCAAGGAGGGCGGCUCCCUGGGAGGGUGGUGAUCCUUACUCUGCUGGGCUCCCUGGCUCUUCCUGUGCAGCUGCAGCUAAGGUGGAAGAGGAAUGAAGCUGAACUAGAGGUGUUUUCUGCUAAUACCCCCUAAUUUGAACAUAGUAAGUAUGCAGUGUACUCAUGCCCUUGUGUGAAGGUUUUCUCUGAGGACACCGUUCCUGGGCUCUGAUCUUGUUAAGAAGAAACCUCCUCCUUGCUACUCCCAAAACUGCACUAAAGUAAUCCUCAGCUUCCACCCCUCUCUGCUCAGAUCCAAGAUUUAUAAAUCUCAGUUCAGUGCAGUGGCAGGUGGAGUCUCAAGUGAGUGACAGUCAGAGUGAGCAAGUCUUCACGGAUCGUGCCGGUGUCAGGGCUUGCUCGAGUGGACUCUGACUUUCUAUGCUGCUGUCUAGGGUCAUGCUGGGCAAGCCUGCAGAGACCCCAGGGUAGAACACAGGUGAGCUCGCCUCAUGGGAUACCUAAGUGCACAUCCACUUGCAUUUUCGAAUCUGCUUCUAUUUUAGGUAGUACAUAGCUUAUUAAAAGUCGAUUUAAAGGACACAUGCUUUACAGUGUUACAAAGCACGAAGAAAACAGGAGGCUUUCAAAUCCUAAUCACAGCUUUUUCUGACACAGCUUUCCUUCAAAGGACACUAUCAUUGCCAGCUCCCAACAGCAACAGGAUGGUAACGGGGGAAACAGCUCACUUGAGACACACACUCUGUUCCCCUCCCUGCCCUAACCUUUCCCAUUUGCUUAGACUUCUCUAAAUGUCAUGUUUUGGUCUUUGCUUGACUACUCCUCUAGCAGAUGCAAUAUGAAUGAAUGGUCCAAAGGUCGAAUAAAAAGAAACCAGAGGCCAAAAUAAGCCCACAUUUAGACAACUCAUGCCUGGCAAGUGACAAGCUGGGCCUGCGAGGAGGUCCAGGUAAAUCACGGCGGCUUUGCAGACACCAGCAGGGGACUGCUGUCAUUCUAUUUGCCUUCCGCUUCUUCCAUCGAGAAUCACGGAUCUUCGUUGAGGCUGGUAAAAACAGCUGGUUGAGGUCUCUAGUCUUUGGCCAUUCUUAGGGAUGGUCAUUUUAUUCCUAAGUGUAACCCCUUCUGGUGUGACCCAUGUGUUUUCUGCCAGCUCUCCACAGAGAAGGCCAGGGGAAACUGUCUGAGUGGGACUUCUGAUGGGGGACAGCAGGACCUUGGAAUCUGUCACUGUGGAUGAAGGGGGCAGGUGGUCCAUGAUGGGGAAAGGAGGACUGAACAAGAUGAGGCUCUGAGGUCUUCCUGGCCUCGCCCUGGGGAAAGGCUUAGAACCUCCAGAUGGCCGCUCCGCUUUUGAAGAAAGCAGGUUAUCCCCUGAUGGCUCUGUCUCUGAUGUGCACUUUCCGCAAUGCACUGUCACAUCCUGGGUGGAAGCCAGGUCAGGUGAGCCUGGUUCUGGAGGAAGGAUGGGUCCCUCACACAUGCAGGGGGCAGUGAGGUCCAACUGAGAGGACCUCAUGACUCCUGAGUCUUGCUUUGGUUUCCCUUCCCUGGGGCUUUCUAGGGGAGAGGGACAUUCAUCUUUGGCAGGUUUCUGAGACGCUCCACUAGCCAAGCUGGGGGGUUCCUGGCUCCCCUCCAGAGGCUGAGCCCCUCUCUCCUCUGAGCUCUGAGAGGGUAGGGGCUGGGGGAUCUGCGUGUAUUGAAUCUUGGGUGUGAUGACUGGGACUGCCUUGGCCUGACACAUUUUGAUCAUAAAGGAGGUUCUCACUGCUGACACACUCACAGGAGCCGAGUUACGGCGGCGGCCAGUCGCAGCAUGAGCAAUAACGUCCAGGUCCUGGGAGUCCUGGGAGCAAACCCCCCAGGGGUCUGCUUUACAGUGGGACGAGGUCAUCCAGGUGAGCUUGGGGUCUUCCGGCUCCAAGAGCUGCAUUCCAGGUGAGCUAAAUGAGGUCCCAUUCCCAAGCCGGAAGAGAUCAGCGAUGGGAACAGCAGAGUCCAGGUUGAGAGAAGAAGGCCUGUUUUUCCCUUUUGAGGGCCCACACUCAGUGCUCUUCUGCUGUAACUCAGGGGGAAGCGCUGCUGGUGGGGGGCUGCCCUGAACAGUAGGGGAACUCUCCCUGCUGCUGUCUAGCUCGGGAACGUUGCUUUGCUUGAUGUCUGAGCUGCUGUACUCCAGCUGUGGCCCCAGCCCCCUUCUCUCUGCCAGGCUGACUGGGCUAGUUUCUACUGGGUUGGCUUGCACAUCAGUUGGUCCUUUCUGGCUGGGAAGAGCCUCUGCCCCUUGCGAGAACUCUCUGAAGGGCUUUGGGGCUUUCUCAUCCCAUCCAGCUGUCUCUUUCCUGGCCACCAGAGGCUGCAGAGAGUCCAGAUUCUUCUUUGUUUCAAGACUGGCACAGCUACUAGAGGAGGGAGUGUGGAGAGGCCACUGGCAAGUGGAAAUAGAGCUUUUGCUGUCCAGAGAGUGGCUCUGGUGAAGGCCGGGCCUGGGGGUCAGCCUCCGCUCCAGCCUGUGGCUCUGGGGGUUCUGCACCCGGGACUCCUGCACUUCCUUCAGGGUGGGAGAGUGAAGAGGACUGGUUACCCACUGGGGCUCCUCCCAGGGCUCCACCAUCUCCAGGCCGUGCUGAACAGCGUCGGUCACAGUGUCAUCUUCAUCACAGUCUGAAGGCUCCUGUACUGAAUGGGCUCCGUCUCCCUCUCCCGCUGGGGAAAUCUCACCCUCCUUUGGGCCUGAGACGCCAGGGCCUUUGGCCUCCGGAGCAGCACUCUUUGAAUCUCUCUCUUCCCUGUGCUUCUGAGCUGCCUCAUCUCCCUGAAAGGUGCUGGAGAUCCCAGGGCUGUCUGUGCACUUCAGUUGCUCUACAUAGAGACUGAUGCUCAAAUUCAUGCACGGAUCUUCUCUCUCAGGGCUACCCCUUGACUGCAGGAUUCGAGGCGCCUCCUCCAAAGAGGUCGGAGGGGGAGAAGCAGGCGGGAGCAGGGGAGAGAGAUUCCCUAGGCCAGCAACAUCUGUUUUAGCCUCUGGAGACACCUCAAGGGGAACUACAUCCAAAUGAGCCGGACCAGUGUGGUCUGGGUACAGGCCCUGUUCAUGCUUGUAUUUAUGGAGACUGCUGGUUGGCUCCAGUUUCUCCUUGCUGGCUGCUGUGGUCACUCCCUGUGUGUCAUCCCUAGUCCAUGCCACCAGAGGGGCAGAGACUGGACUGGGGGUAGAGCCACAAGACAAGGUCCCAGGAGCCUCUGGGGAAGAAAAGGCCACUGGGCUUGGCUCAAGAACUGCCUGAACUGGGCUGAUCUGCUGAGCAGGGGGUUGUGACAGGGAGAGCUCCUCUUCAGAUUCGAUGAUUUUCAGUUCCUGUUGAAUCUCGGGCCAGAAAAGGGGGUUGGUCAGAUCGUCGUCAUCCUGAAAAACAGCAUGAAACUGAUUACCUUAGAACCAAGAUUCUAGACACCAACAUUUGCUCUGUUGCCAGGUAGAGUGAAGGGGCCACUAAGAAAUGAGGCACUGUCACUGACACUUGUGAAUAUCCAAUUCUUUGUCUAGUUUUGAUUUUUGCAACACCCUAGGAGAUAAACACUAUUACUGUUUUACCGAUUAGAUAACGAUUUAACUGAAUCAUACAGCAGGAAACCAGGAUUGAAAUCCAGCCUUGUCUACAUCAGAACACAAACAUUUACUCUCUGUGCAAUGUUGCCUUGUUGGGGAAACAAAAAGCGUGAUUUUAUUUAACCCCAGGUUUACGAGAAAGCUCACAAGAGUGAAGUUCUAGUGGAACAAAAAUGUUAACUCUCACCCUAACUCUUGCUUCCCAAGUAAAUAAAGAAAUGUAUAUUCUGUAUGUGUCACGGUGGGAUAUAAGGUGUCCCCUAAAAGCUCAUGUGCUCCCGGGAUGGGCUUGGGGGAGUGACUGGACUCUGAGGGUUCCACGCCCUGUGUAGGUUAAUCUACUGGUGGGUUUAUAGCUGAUGGCUUUCAGUAGGAGGCCAUGAAGACAGGGCAGGGGCCUUGCUGAAGGGAGGAUGGAUGUCAUAGGAGUAUGACCUUGUGGACUGUGUCUUGUGCUUGGUCCUCUCCUCUCUGGCUCGGGCCCUCAUUCUCUGUUCUCCGGCUGUCGUGAGGUGAGCAGCUCCCCUCCACCCUACUCUUCUACCACGAUGCUUCUGCCUUACCCCAGGCCAAGAGGCAGCAAAGCCAUGUGACGUUGGACUAAAGCCUCUGAAUCUGUGAGUCGAAAUAAAUCUUUGCUCUUGUUUUUGGUCACAGUGAUGAAAAUCUAUCAUACAUGGGGAGUUCUUAAACACAGAAUAAAAGCAAAUAUAAAACUCCUGUAUUCCUACCACCCAGGGAUACCCACUGUUUAUCUGACUGGGCUUUGUGGGGAGUUCCUUCUGUGGCUGUGGAAGUGUCUCCUGCAUCAGCUUGUUUGCUGUCUCUGUCUCUCUUGUCGUCCUCAGCAACUCCAUUUCCCUCCACAAAGGCUAAAGUUACAGGGAGGAAAAGGAGGAAGAGAGGCCUGGCUCAGGCCAGGAAAUCAAAUUUUGCUUUCUUUCACACUUUGUGGCAGGCCUAAUUCUGCCUCAUGAAGGAGGCAGCUCAGGGGAGCAUCUCCCUCUGAGAAGUCCGAUCUCUCUCCUCAUUUCUGUCCUGCCUCUAAUCACACGCUGCUUCGCACGCCAGUUACUCUCAAGUUUACCUUACUCCCAAUGGAGCAGGGGCUCCUAGAGAUCAAGGUUUCCUGUGAUUCCCCUUUAAUCCCUCGAGGCCAAAUAGUGUCUGGCAGACCGUGACUAGCUGUUCAAUAAAGAGUCUGAAAUGGGUGUAUGUUUACUAAAGUUACUUGUUUCAGACAAAUAUCCUAGAUUACUCAAACAUGGUCUGAUUCUGCUGUACUACAUUACUUGUGUACAGUUCUAUUUUGCCUGCUAGACUAGGCAAGAUUUUUUUCUCAUCUCUUUUCUUUAGCAUCUACAUUAAUUAUCCCUUACUGAGAAAUCAAUGAAUUUAAAUGCAUUAAUGACCUCCAAACUCCCCUCCAUUCUGCAGUCUAACAGCUCCGUAUAUGGAUCACAAUAGAAAUUUGGCUAGAUCAAAGAUCUAGAUUUUCUUUUUUGGUACUGGGGAUUGAACUCAUGACCUUGCCCUUGCCAGGCAGGCGCUUACGCCACCGAGCUAAACUCUCAGCCCAAAGAUUUAGAAUUCUGUCUUUGUCCCUUCAUCCUUACUCCACAUCCUAUCCUUCACAAAGUCCCCUUCAUUUUAUCUCCUUAACCAGGUCUUGAACCCCACUUCCACCUCCAUGGCCCUCGCCCUAGUCUAGGCUACCACCUACCUUCUCUCACUCGGUUUGCCACAUGGCAGCCUCUAACUGGCUCGCUCUCUCUCUCUCUCUCUCUCUCUCUCUCUCUCUCUCUCUCUCUCUCCUUUCUUCGAGCUAUUUUCCCUCACAGAAUACGGGGGCCCUUUAAGGACAAAAUUCUGACUCUGUCAUAGGCUUUUCCACCACCUUUGUUGGAACCCCAGCCCCUCCCAUGCAGUCCUGCCCAAUGUGACUUCUGCUUCUACUGGAGCCACACUUCUUCCAGUGGGUCUCCUGGCUCCGUUCCCAUCCAUGAAUAUUUCAGGCUCUUUCUUGCCUCAGACUCAUGGCACAUCUUGUUCUUUCUGCCUGGAAAUACACCCCAAUCCCUCCUUUUUUCCAGCAAGUUAUCAACCUAAGUAUCCAUUCUUCAGAGGAGUCCACUUAUUUAAUCAUUUUUUGUUACUGGAACUAAAUACCUGACAUGCACAAAAUAGAGGAAAUUUAAUUUUGCUGCCAGUUUAAAGGUUUCGGGUAACAGUUGGCUGGCACUACGUGGGAAUUGAUGGUGGAAGAGCAGCUGCUUACCUCUUGCCGGCCAGGAAGCAAAGAGAAAAGAAAGAGCCAGAGACAGAAGAAAGAGGCUAGGGACCAGAUGGAGUUCCUAAGGUCGCCCCCUGGGGCCACCUAGACAUACUUAGUAGUAUGCUUUACAAUCAAAUUGUCACUCAAGCUUAAUCCCGGCCCUUGUGACACUCUUCCUCCCUCUGAUUACGCGAGGUCUUCCUGUCAUGUAUGCUCACCACGUUCCGUAUUUCCAUUUCACCAUGGAGAGUACUUCCUCAAUGACCUUUCCCAACGAGGCUGUCAACCCUAAGGAACUAGGGAUGGUGACAAUUUUGUCCACUACACUGAUCUAGUGCUCAACAGAGUGGCACAAAGUGGGUAUUUGAUCCAUUUUGUUGUUGUUGUUGUUUGUUGAGGCAGGGUCUUGCUAUGUAGCCCAGGGUGGCCGUGAACUCGCAAUCCUCCUAUUCCAGCCUCCUAAGAGCUGGGACUAGAGGCAUAUGCCACCACACUGACUUAACACAUGUUUUAAAUGAAGGAAUGGAUGCCUUUACUUGUCCUCUGAGCCCAGCCUGGUUCUUCCAGCACUAAGUACAUCUGUUUCUCAGAACAAUACCACUCAUACAUUGGUCUUCUCCAUAAAUGCAGUUCCCACAAAAAUCUCUGCGUCCUUCUUUUUUACAAAUGCAACCACGUCUUACAGGAACUCAACUUCAGUCCUCUCAGCCACCAGGGGGCCCCAGCUCUGCCCUAAUUCCCAGCAAGUGCUUCUAUAAUACAUGUGCUUCAAGCAAGUUUUAAAGCGAUGAGCUUCCCUUUCCCCUUUGGCAUACUCUUGCUUAUGGAACCACCUUCCAAGUAGAGGACUCCUCCCUAGGUGUCCCCAGGAAACCUCCCCACACCUUCUUAUGUAAAAACCGCUCAUAAAAUCCUUUUUGGAGAAUUCUAGCUCUAAAGAAGACAAGGUUCCACCAGCUCUGGCAUGGUCUUUUAAAAUCACCAGGAGCCACAGGAGGAAGGAGUGAACUCUGGAAAUCUCCCAGACUUUAGAAAGAAGCCUAAACAACCAGCCAUCCAGGAUGUCUGGAAGAAGAGGGCAAGAUGUCAUGAUGGUCAUGUUAGGCCCAGGCUAUUUCACAAGUUUUGUGCGGCUACUGGCAUUGAAUACCAAAACAGUUGAAUCUGUCCUAAGGGGUCUGAGCUUAAUGGUUCCUUUCUAUCACUGGGCUCCUGAAAACCCAAGCAAAAAAAGGAAAUUUUAGGUCUUAAAGAAGUGGUUUCUUUUGGCAGAAACCACUUCUUUUAAAUCUAGUUUAAAUUGGACCCAGAUCUCCCAGGCAAAAGAAUGCUACACUCGAUGGAGCACAGAGUCUGCCUUACCAUCUCAUGGAAAAAUCCAGCUUCAGCUUCAGCCCCGGAGCUCUGCAGGGGAGCAGCGGCUCCCACUGGACUGGCCUCUUGGCUCUUCUCCUCCACCUUCUCCUGUUUUGGUCUCUUUUCUGAUUCUCCUGAAUGUAGAGAAGCCAUGGCAGGUUCUGAGGUUUUCUUCUCCUCCAGUUGGGCAGCCGGCUCCAGGGAAAGACUUUGGCUGCAUCUUGCCAGCGCCUGGCCAUCAGGUUGGAGUGAGGCAUCCUCGGGAAUGGCAUUCUUAGCAACAGGGGCUGCAAGGGAGAUGGUGGUGGUCAGUUCAAGUUAAAGGACUUCACUUUCAAACAGGUUGUUCCCAUUGCAGUCCCCACCCUGUCUCUUGGCCUUGCCUCACAAGGACGAGGCAUCUCCCAGCUCACUGCCUCUCAUGGUCUUCACCCUCUUCUCCCCACAAUGUCUUGGUCUUAGGUCGUGGAGUCCCAGACUAUCAAAGAAGGAGUGAGCUGAAAGAUCAUCUAGUCCAACAAUUCUCAACCCACAGCCAUUUUACUCUUCUCUCCCUCUCCAGGGAACAAUGGCAGUGUCUGGAGCUAUUUUUGGUUGUUACAAGGUGAGGACCACUAAUGACAUCUAUAAUUUAGAAGCCAAGGAUGCUGCUAAAUAAAUAUCCUCCAACGACCGCCCUACUCCCACUGCCAGCAAAAAUUAUCCAACCCAAAAUGUCAAUAGUGUCAAAAUUAGGAAAUGCUGCCUCUGCCCAGCCUUUCACUGCACAAAUAAAUACCCUGUCCCUGAGAAGUCAAGCUUGGUGCCCAAGACCACAAAAAUCUGCUAUUUGUGCCAAGCUACAGAGAGAUCGUAUGGUUGACAGCUUCUCAGGGUCAUCAACAGUCAAUUCAGACACAGCGGAAGUGACCACAGUCUUAAACACCUACUGACACAGGAGGAAGGAGGCAGACUUCAGAUCCAUCCACUUCUGCCUUGUACAAGAAAAGGCUGCAGAGUAAAGACUAAGAAAAUGUCCAGGCAAUACUUAGCCCAUAACAGGUCCUCAACAAAUGCCAUUAUUUAAAAGAGCAUUAAGUAAGCUUCCUUUCAAAUUCUAGUUUCUCAAUGAAUCUUAUCACAUUAAGACAGACGCAGGGCCAGACGAGGAUGAAGUAGACAACAAAUGUGAAGCACACAGCUCAGAGUUUGACAUACUCUGCAAGCUCAGAAAAGUCAGCGGGCUAAGAACAAACUCGCCUUCUGCCAUUAUUAAUCUGGCAACUUAGCUUCUGGGUGUUCACCACGAUGCCCGCCUGCUGCAGCUCAGUCAGCCCUAGUGACAGCAUCUUGAUGUGUGAAUGAACAAUGCUUUGGACUUAACUGUAAUACCAUUUUUAUUUUUAUUUAUUUAUUUUUGUCUUUUUCCUUUUUAUCGGUACCAGGGAUCAAACUCAUGACUGUCUGCUUGCAAGGCAGGCACUUAUGCCGCUGAGCUAAAUCCCCAGCCCCCUAAUACCAUUUUUAAAAACUCAUUACUCAGUAGGUCUAUUUUCCAAAAAACCCUUUUUGUGUGGUUAUGAGGAGUGAACCCAGGGCUGUGUGUGUGUUAGACAAGCACCCUGCUCACUAAGCUACAUCCUUAUUUUUUAUAUCAACACAGGGUCUUGCCCAUGACGGCUUUGAGCCUGUGAUCCUCCUGCCUCAGUCUCCUGAGUAGCUGGGAUUACAGGUUUGUGCCACCAAGCCUGGCUAAUUUAAUCUCCAAAUGUGUAAAACAUUUAGAGUUCAAAAGUUAAAACUACAUAAAAAGGCAUUCUUUAAGUUUUCUUUCAUUCUUGUUGCUUCUAUCCUGUUCCACAUUCUCACUAUCUUCACUUCAUGAUCACUUUCAUUAGUUUUUUAAGUGCAUUUAUUUUUGCAUAUUUACAGGCAUUUGUAAUGUUGUAUUUCCUACUUUACUACAGAAAAUAUAGCAUAAUACAUGCCACUCUUCAGUUUGCAUUUUUUCAGUGAAUGUAUAUUGAAGGCCGUGCGUAUUAGUCUAAAGGGAGACUGGUUAUUCUUUAGAGUGAGGCGCCCCCCAAAGCAGACCCUGAGACAAGAUUGGGGCAGCAGGCAGCUUCUUUGGAAGGAGGUGCCUCGCGGGAGGAGUGAGGAGUGGAGACAGAGGUGUAAUGGAAGUCAUGCAAAGUACACUGAGCUGCUGACCACUGCAAGCCUCUGUGACUCUCUGGUAACCCUGUGUGGCCAUGUCCCACAGCCACCCCCCUGAAGAACCUGAGACGGGGUCAUCUAUCCACUGAUUCCUAGCUCAUGUUGGUUGAGAGUGACCACUUGAUUUUCUGUACUCUGAGGAAACCCAAGCAAGGGCUGGCUAAGUAACUUCUGCCUUCAAGGUAAGUCCUCACACAGAAAACUAGCAAUGCACAGUAGACACCUGAGGGAAAACACCUUCGUUCUUCCUUUGUGAGCAGUGACCUGGCCCCUGCAAGCAGCACAGCCGUGGGAAGGCAGGCCGGCAGGCACUGCCCACCACGGCUUUUGGGGCUUUUUCUGGCCUUUUGCUACUGUCACGAGCAACACUAUCUUGUGUGUAUAUCAUUCUGGGGUUGUGCAGCUAUUUAUUUAGGGUAAGUUCUUGGAAGUGAGACUUCUGGGUGAAGGGUCAAAUGGGCCAGUAAUUUUUAAAAGACAUUUUGAGCUUUCUGCUUAGGUCUACUUCUUGCCAGUAACUCAUUUUGUAGCACUCCGGUAGUGUUCAGGUCUUCUGCUCAUUGGGAGGAAGAUGGCCUGCCCUAAGGGUGGGCUCGCUGGUCUCACCCUGGCUGCCAGCUUCCAUCAGGGCAUGCAAGGCCCUCUUCUCUCUGGUCAGGCUGUGUGUCUGCUCCUUUGCUCUGUGAGGUCUUGCGCCCCUUUGCUCUGGUCUUCCCUGUGGUAGGAGUGGAACCCAUUCUUUGGGGAUACACGUGGCGUUAAGGACCUAGUACUCCAGCAAAUUUCCCUUGACUGAGAGUUAUGGUGGGUAAUUCCAAGUUCCCACGAAAGGGUUCCCAGCAUGAGGCGAGUGAGGAGUGAGCAGGUAGACACACACUGUCCCUUAGGAUCCAAUCUCUUCUUUGGGUAGAACUGGAACCUAUCUCACUGCCCAGGUUUAGGUGAGCAUGUGGCCGUCCAGCUAGGGACAACUUUUUCAGCCCCUUUGGAAGGAGCGUACAUCUGUGUAAGACAAGUGUUGCUGAUGCGGUGGUGCAGAAGUGAUGCAUGCAGCUUCAGGGUUACAUCUCUGAGUGGAGGCUGUGUGGCUUCCUCCUCUUGUCCACUGGCUGGGAAUUUGGAUGUUGGGGUAUGGAGUCCAGGGGGACCAAUGCAGACAAGGACUGUGUUGGGUACAUGUGAUGGUAUGUGUAGGCGUACACCAGGAUAGCCAAAUAUUUAUGAAAUACCUAAACAGGCAUCAGUCACCAUGUAAUCACCAUGGGAAAAGGUGGAUCAAAAUAAGCGGAAGGCAAAGGAGAGCACUGCAGUGAAAUAAAUUGCUCAAAGCACCCCGUCAUGAGUUAUGUUCUGCUUCUGAACUGCACUGACCAUUCAUGAAACACGGCUCAGAAAACAAUACACUCAGAAACAAUACAGAAAACAAGCACUUGUUUUGUUUGUUUCAGUGGAAGAAUGAAACAACUCCCAGUAUUUACUAGUGCAAUUAUAGAUUUUCAUUUGUGAAGUUCCCUUAAAGCUGUGUGGUUACUCUGAUGUUCCAAGAAUGAGCAUUUCUAGGAGAGGGGGCAGAGUCCUUGUAGCUUUUAAAACAGCCCAUAUCUCUCCCAUCCCUUGCAAAAGGAGUUUGUGAUGCUUUUAUCUCCCAGAAGAGGUUAGCAGAGCAUAGCUUUGAAUCAGCUAAAAAUAAGAUGAUCAGUUACUAGAAUGAAACUGAUUAAACCUUUAAUUUGAAACAAUGAAUAAUCUGAUCAUCCACACCUCAGUUAAACUGCAAAACUUAUCACUUCUAACCUUCAGGUCACAUUGAAAUUUCACUUAUUUUGGCCCAAAAGUAAGAAAAUGCCUUUGUUCAUAGCAACAAUUGUAAUGGGAUAAUCUAGAAAAUUGUCUUCAUUUCUUCUUUCUGUUACCCACUGCUACACCAUAAAGAAGAAAAACAUUUGAUUAAUGAAGAUGAAGAUCUCUAUUUGGAAAGCUGAUGGAGGGAAGAAGAAAUCUAAGUUGGCCUAACCUCAUCGGAGGGAAGGCCAAGGGCGUGUUGUCUUGGCAUCUACCAAGAGGGUCUCCCUUCAGCCUCCUGCCCAGACCUGUGUGGCUGCCUGUACACCCCUACCACCCUACUGCCUCCACAGGCAGGAAGGCAGGGAGGAGUCCCCGUUAGUGUCUUCUCCAGACUAAAUUUAAUGUAGAUUUGAUAUUCCUUCAAGGAGAAAGAGAGAAGGGAGACUGUCUCCAAAACUCUUUGGGGCUCAACACCUUCUGUUUUGGAGAGUCUAACCAAGCCUUCAGAAGCCCAGUUUCCUUCAAAGACUCUGUUCCUUGUCCUGCUCUGCCCAUACCAUCUCAAGGACCAUUUUCCAGACAGGACAUCACUUGAUGUCUCAGAGUUUUAGCUCACUGGUGGCCCCAUCAUGAAGGCAAAGGUGAGGAGGAGACAGUUAAUAUUCACAGAGCAUCUGCAGUGAGCCAGACCACAGACAGGUAUUUUAUGGACAUUCUCUCCUUCAGACCUUGCCCUGGGCUUUAGGAUAGGAGCCUCUCCUCCUCUGCAGAUGGGAAAAAGGCUCUGAAAUGACAGUUGUCACCCACUGUCACACUGCUCAAGGGAUCCGAUGUGGCUCAGCUGAUGUGAAAACUCUGUAUAUUUCUGUAAUGUUCAUCUGCCUGUUGGCUCCAAGGGCCAUUUCUCAUCAUCUCUGCAUAGAAAAGCCCUGCCCCUCUAGGCAUAUGCAGCCUGAAUGUCACCUGUUGUAAACUUUUCUGAAAGUCUCCUGGGAGGACUGCCUCUCCUUCAGUCUUUUCUGAAUACUCCUUUCAGUAUACUCUAGAUACCUAAGUCCUCCCUCAGUCCAAAGAGCAGAAGGAGGCUCUUUGUGAUUUCCACGGUCUGAUCCUGUGCUGAACAUCCAUGCAGUCCCAGUUCCCCGAGGUCCAGGGGAAAAAGGGACGGAGUACCAACUAUCUUUCUAACUCUACAACCUGUAGUAAGCGCAUCAGGCAGUGUGACAGAGUGCAUGUAAGUGUAGAUUUGUUUUUUAAAAAUGUGCCUUAGCAUUCUUGUUUUUAUCACUUCCUUUCUAUGACUUUUUUAGGCAAAUCACAAUUCUAAGUAAAUGGUGAUAGUAACACUUCAUGGGACUGUUGUGAGAAGAUCAGGGGUAAUACCCAUAGAAGCCUUAGUGUACGUCUGACAGCAAAGUAACAAAGGCACUUAAGUCCAAAGAAAACUAGCUAAUACCAGUAAAAACAGAAAUAUUCACAAUAAGACACUGUAGAAGCCAUUGAAGCUGGAGAUUGAUCAGGUGUGGGGCUAAAGCCAGACCAGCCCAGAAAACACAAGAGCCCAAAACAAGCCAUGUAAACAAGCUGUCCCAGCUCCAAGAGGGCAUGGGGCCCAGGCCAGCCAGGCAAACAAGUUGCUAGGCAGAGGGGUUGAAAUUGACAUCCUCCUCCUGAGCGUAUAAAUAAACCUGCUACAGCCUUGAACAGUUGCUUCUCUCCCAUCAGGAGAGUGAGGGCUCCACUUGACCCCAGUUCUGUCUCUUCUUUAUUUUCUCAUCUUUUUCUGGUCUUUCACCUCAAGAACUUCAAGAACCUCAUGGAUCACCGCAAGACAUGUGUUUAUUUGACUGUCAGCCAUCCUUUCCACUGGGGUUCUGCCUAUUUUCAUUUUUGAUGCUCAGGUAAGAGCAGUGAUCAAAGAGCCCUUCAUUAUUCCAGACACAGCCCAGACACUCAAGCCUGGGGCGUCUUACCCCUCAACUGCCUGGCAACAGGGGUUGGGCCAAAGUUGGACAUGUGACUCAAGCAUAGCCAAUCAGAGUCUUUCCUGCAUGAUACAGGAAGCAGAAGACGGCCGCUCUGUGGCAGUCCUAGGAUUGCUGCCAUGCUCUUCUGCAGCUAUGAGCUAGAAAUGCGGGAUGGAUGGAUGAAGAAUAAGUCAGUCUGGAAGAGCUAAACCUUUAGUUCCAGCUCUGUCGCUCUACAUUCCAACUUGCAGUCUUUUCUUUUUGCCUUUUACGAGCAAAUAAGAUAACAUUUGUUAAGCAUUUACUGUAUAUCAUGUAUCAUUGUGAGAGCUUUAUAUGUAUUAACUAACUUAAUAAUCAGCAAAUUUAUGGAAAAGGUUCCAUUUUACAGGUUAAGAAACUGAGGCACAGGGUGGUUAUGUUAACUUGCUAAAGGGCAGAGCUUGAGUUUGUACUCAGUCUGGCUGUAGAGCCCACAAGUCUAACCACUUCACUACACGGCCUUGCAAACUCUACUUAUCAGCAAGUUCAAGUCUGGUUUUUAUCUCCUGCUGUAGAAAAAGACCUCAUUUCCUUACUUUACCUGUAGAAGUCUCAGUUCCCUGUGGCUUCUCCUCCUCGGGCCAGCUGCCACUCUCUGAGCCCUGGAAAGAAGACUCUUCUAGGCUGGAGAGGGACUGUAGCUCCUUGGGGGGUGUUCGGCACGGGGUGCUGUUAGUGCUGAUGACUGCGGACACUCGGAGUGGCACGGACACCGCAAAGGGCUCGGAGAUAUUGAGUGCCUUGCGCUGGUGAUGAGGCGAGGGCUCCGUCUGGAAGAGGCUGCUGCCGAAGACGGACUUACUGGGGCUCUCGUUGGAGGUGUAGAACAUCCCCAGCAUCUUUGGGCCUGUUUGUUCGAUUUCAGGGUCCUCGAUAGGUCGGAACACCUUCAGCUGCUCAGGUGGGGCCCGGAUCUGAGCACCCUGGAGUUGGCUUCGGUCACCCCUCGUGUCAAAGCCCCCCUCGGCCCCUGCAGGCAUUCCCUCCGGGCCCCAUUCGCUCUCCUGCUUGCUGAGGUCACAUGAGCUGCCAGUGCUGGUCGAGUGCAAUUUCGUGGCUGGAAUGAAAAAUCCACCAGUAGCGACCGUUCGACCGAAAUUUCCUUUGGUUUCUUUUCCUAGUGAAAAAAACAGGCACUUGGUCAGCAGCCGAGGCACGCACACAGUGUAAGCCUCACGGGAAGGGCAGGCAUAGCGCAUCUGCAUGCUGGGAAGGUGUGGUGCUCUCCUAAGCGCAUGGGCAGCCUAAUGAAGACCGCAGCAUAGCUCUGGGUUGGCAAGGGAGAAAGCACUUCUCAUGUGCACAGAAUUUUGGGUUGAUGGGUGCAGAACCACUGCCUUUGUGCUGUGUGUCAGUUUUAACCACUGCAGGGAGAGCACCUACCAAGCAUUAAAUGUAGAAGGUGACAAAAACAGAUGGGACAUCACAGAAUGCUAUUUGCUCAAAAAGAAGACAAAAGGAGCAAGGUAAUAGAAUCUUGUUUGUUUAUUUAUUUAAGCCUUAAACCUACGGUGCUAUGUGUUCUCUGUCUGGUAGAUACAGACAGAGUUUGAUUUUCCAGCAAGGAAAGCAAUGUUAUUCUCACUUAGACCUUUUCUUCCUUUUCUCGUGCUUCAUCCUGUUGAUUCAGAGAAUGAGAAACUAGGAAUAUGAAUUGACUGUUAGAAAGCACGGUAGCGCGGAAGAUGCCCUUGACCGAGUUAGAAGGGAAGGCAAAGGGGCGUGGCCUCUAUGGGAGCAGGUAGGCUGAAGGAUGCCAAGUAAGUUGCCAGGAACCUGGCAGCAUCUUACAUAGCACCUUACCUAACAUCAUAGUUAAAAUUCUUUAUCUCCUUUAACAUAUAAGGAAGCUGAGACAGAGUCUAGGUGACCCACACAGCAUCCAGAUAGUGGAAACCCUGUAAGAACUCAAUUUAUAAAUCCUGUAAGGACUUUCCUAAAAGAAUUCACAACUGAAGCACUCAGAGGAAUAUAAAUGUGAGAAAAAUGCUGCAAGUAUGAAGACAGCUUAAAAAGAUCUCACUGAGCAUCUUACAGCUUUAGAAAUGUUUACCAAAUUGUUUUCAUUAGUACAUGUUUGCAGUGCACAAUUUUUUAAAAAGUUGUUCUAAAUAUUUCCUAUAUUGUCUCAGGCUGUCUCACUUAUCAAAGAGAACAAUGUCAUGUAUUUAAGGGAUUAGAAAGCCAUAACAAGGAGUGAUCAAAACAUACAGUGAGUGUUUAAAAUGUGCAAAAAAUUAUUAUAGUAAAAGACACUUUGCCACCCCCUCCAAUACUCUCCCUGGCUUUGAACACACUGUUCCAUUUUUCUUGUCACUUCCUUAUGGAGUUCUGGAAGUCCUUAUUCAUGAAUAACUUUAUGAUGUUUGGUCAGAAAUACAGUGGCUAAGUAUCAUCCAGCCGAAAGGCAGACUCAGGAAAACACUGCACAGUGAGCAUCUUUACCCGCCUUGCUCACUGGAUCUGGCACCAUGUGAUUUCCGGCUUUUCGCUAAAGUCAAAAUGACCAGGAAGGUAAACAUUCUGAUGUGAUUCAGGACACCUACAUGCCAGGACAGUGUAACGGAAGACACUCAUGGAGAAGGAAUUCCGGAACUGCUCAGAAAACAGGAAGGAUGAUGGGGUGAGUGUGUUUGAAGCAAGUGGGAGUGUUCUGAAAGGGGUUAGUGACAAUGUGAUUUUUAAUUGAUUUUUAAUAUUUAAACAGUCAUUGCAGUUUUUUUUAAAUCAGCCCUUGGAAGCGAGUUACAACAGUCUGCAUUCAGGGAAGCCCUUUACUUUGUAACUUGCUGGUUGCUUAACAAAUGCUUUGCAAGAAGAGAGAGAUGCAGACAAGUGAGUGCUUAAUGCUAGAGCCCUGGGUAUGAAUGUGCUGAGGUAUUGUUUUGAUAAGGGCAGCCGCAGCAUGUGCAGCUGUGUACACGCCAGUGUCAGUGAAGAAAAUGGCACCAACUACACGCACCUGACACACAGUAGAUGCCUAACCCAUGUUUACUGAUAAAUACAAUCUAUGAGCUAAAUGGGGGAGACCAGGAGGUAGAAACCAGUGUUGGGCUCUUUCUGCCCAAGCUUCAUCUGCGUUUGGUUUGCAGGAGCUGAUCUUUGCCUGGCUCAUGUUUCAAUGAAAAGAAACCCUGGUUCCUGGCUGUGGUUAGAAGCCUGGUGACAGAGGACGGCUCACGAUACUGGCUGGCGACACAGUAGGCGAGGUUAUGGCAAGCGCUAUGAGAAACCCUCAGCCUGGGGGAUCCCGCUCUGGGAGAAACUGGGACAGGAUGAGCAGGUGCGAUCCUGACUGCAGGAUCCACCAGGGCUCAGCAAUGAAGAGGGAGAUGGAGAUGGUCCUACAAGAAGCAGGCUGGGCUGGCCCUAGUCCAAGGAGCUGCGUGACUGACCUUCUCUGGUUUCCACAUGUUGACCUGGAGGGGCCAGGAUGAGGCGACCCUGAGUGUCACAGAGGGGGAGCAGCAUGAAUGUCCCCCUUUGGUCUGGAUCCUUCCUCCUCCUCCCCACUUCCUUUUCUUAGGGCCUUGGAUAUAUAAAACACACAUCACCAGGCACCUUGCUGCAUGUCCAGCCCCUCGAUCUUCUUCCUCAUUCCACACCUCCUUGUGGCCUUGCACACAACAGCAGCCCAGAAGGGCAGCUUCUGCCACAGACCCCAAGGAGACCCCACUUCUUUCUUGGGUGGUCACUCGGGACUCCUUGGCCCAUGGCUGUAUUUACAUUAUAUUUUUAUGUCUGGAGCACUGGUCUGGCCUCACAAGGUACAUACCCACUCUCAUUAUCUGACAGCUUUUGUGUUCUUUCUCUUGAUCACUUCACUUAAAGGAAAACCCUACAACUACCAUCGCCCCAUGGCUCUGGGAUUUCUCUGCUCAGGGGUUCAUUUUGAUAAUAUGCCAAAAGAACCUAAAUUGGAUCAGUUCGGAUGCCUGAGUUUUAUAUUUGACAUAAAGUGCAUUCAGUCAACAAUUCACUUUUUUCUUACUCUUUUAUUUUUUUAAAUUUCUUUUCAGUUUUCUAAACAUGCUUAAACAAACCUUCUUCCCCAGUUCUACCUAAUAAAACUUCCAAUACUA